CACAGAGUCCAGACAGGUUUGAAGGAUGGGCUAACUGUACCCACAGUGGAAUUUCACAAGCCUAAAUGUCAGGCCCUGGACAAGGCCCUGCCACACCAAAGGCUCCAGGGAAUGGCCAGGAGAUGUGUGUGACUCAGUAGCCACCUUGACAGAGAAGCCAAAGGCAGCUGGUGACUCAGCACAGGGAGCGCCUGCCAAAAGGCUAGGGGUCCUCGACCACUGACAAGGCCAGAGUCCGGACCUGGGGCAGCCACCCAGCUCCAGCCAGGCUCCCGGGGUCAGCCUGUGUGCAGUUCUCAGCCCUACACUGUGGAUGCGGCCAUACUAAUGUCUGCUGAAUGCUGAUACCUAUCGGGCCAGGCUCUGCUGCAACUACACCCUCAAGGAGCUGAUGGGGAACGUCAGCCCUCCCUUUUACAGGUAAGGAAACCAAGCUCAGGGAAACUUGCCUCAGCUCCUAGCUAAAAAGUGCCAAGGACUAGCUCCAGACCAGGUCCAGUGUAAUACUGAGCAGCAGGCCCCUCAGCACCAGGCCAGCUCUGCUAGCUGAAGGACAGCAUCAAAAUGGAACAAGUUCAAAGAAAACAAAAAGGAGACUGUAGCCAGGCUCUGGGACACUAGUCUGGGGACACAGCUGCUCACAGAUGAGGACCCGAGCCAAACAAGCUGCACAUGCACUAUCCCCUUGCUGUGGCCACCUCACAGGAGCCGUUCCACACCUAUGCACCGGACAGCAGGUGGAGGGUACCGUCUCUCAUGGAAUUGCCUGCCAUGGUCUCUGCCUGGGACCUGGGCAUUCCCGAGACCGAGCCCAUGCGCCCAACCUGGCUUGUGGGAGUGCUCCUCCUUGGAGCUCAGGCAAACCUGACUUCCUUCCACCCACCGUCUCUAUUGUGGGCAGCGGCUAUUCAACACCCUGAGACCCACAGCCACCUGGCCCAGAGGGUGGCUGCAGCUGAAUUCAGCCAGAGGACCCAUGGGUAAAUAAGAAAGCAAGCUGUGACCCUUGAGACCCAAAGGCUGUGAAAUGGACCCAGAAGCGCUGAUCUGAUCUUCGAGGAGGCUGGGAAAGCAGGGAGCAGAGGUCAAUCUGCGCUACACACCGCUGGCUCUGGGGGUCAUAGCAGCUCCCGGAGGGCACAGCUAUUCCCGGGGUGCUGGGCAGCCACCUCCAGCAACAUUCAGGGCUGGAGCGUUGGGGAAAGGAAGGAACAAUCCCUGCUCAGCAUUUUCCCAUCCUGCCCCUCACUGGAGACAGUCCAGGGGAAAAAAGAACAGAUGCCCAGGCAGGGCCUAGGACUCCUUCCAUGCCCAGGGCCAGGGUGCCAGGGAUGAAAUCCUUUCCCUACUCUCUGCAUGCCCCAUAUAAGACAGAAGACUUUUGCUAAGCCCCUCCUGUGUUCCUGACAUGGACAAAUAAGUGCCAAGAUAAAUACCAAGGAGCGCAAGUGCCAGGCAUGGCCGGCUAGGAGGAGAGCCUGUGUCGGGAGAAAGCCUGCUCCGUUCCCUCUGGGCCUUGGAGUGUUGCCCGAAUGACUUCUCGCCUCAAGGCUUCUAUUUUCGAAGGUGUGCUCUUUCUCCACACCGGACCUCUCCCUGGAAGGCCUUCCUCCUGCUGUGGCACAUCCUCGAGGUGCAUCCGUGCGUCCUUCAGGCUCUGUUACACUCUGCUGGGGGCUCUGUAUCCCCCUUGUGCAGCACAGAACCUUGCUCUGUUUCCAUCCCCUGCUACACUGAAGGUCUCUACACAGGCUCGGAGCUCACCUACCAGCCAGCUCAUUUCACGCCAUUCUCUACACAAACCUCAGCAAAGUAAGUGGGUCCCUGUUCUUCACAUUCCACCUCGCCAAGCUAAACUGAGCAAGGACAGCUGAGACUUCCCAAUCAAGGCGAUGGGCUUCGUUACACCCCAGAUGGGCCUGCAUCCCCAGUGCUGGAGCACUGAGGAACCAGAAGCUCACGGAAGUAUCAUGUAUGUGUUCCCGUUUAGAUUCCACUGUUGUGAACACAAGGAUGCCUGUGCUUUCUGCUCUGCUGAGACCACAUGGGCCAAUGACAAUACCCACCCCGUGCCCUGGUGGUCAUCCAGGGCACACAUAGGACCCAGCCAGGACAGACAAAGCUUCCAUGGGACUUUUUUAUCUCAAACUGCAGGAAGAAACUUUUGUUCUCUCUGAUCAUAAACUAUAGAAAUAUAAGUCUGAACUAUACAUAUAUCACUGCAUACUAUCUAUGUAUAAGAUACAGUUCAUGAACCUUAAAGGACCCUACAAGGUGGGAGAUCAUCCUGGAGCUUUGGUGAUCAUGCAGCUCAGCAUGUAGGAAGCUCAUGAAGAUGAACAGAGAGUAAGAUCCGCAGGCUGUAAGGCAGUGGCCACAGAUGGACACAGAAGCUGGCAGUACCAGAGGCUGAGACUGGCUCUGUACACAGCUGACCCGUCCUUGCUUAUCUCAGCCAUAAAAUCCCCUUUCUGGCUUGAGCUGUGCUGUGUUUAGAUUUCUUUUACUUUAACCUACUAACCAACAACAAGUUACAACAUUUUAUAUUUUACUUACACCCACUAUGCCCCUCCAAAGGUUUAAAAUUAACACACCUUGUAAGCCUUAUACUCUUGGGGUUAAGAUUUAUUACUACACUCAAGAUAAUCUCUCAGGAUAUUUUUCUGAGUUAAGCAGAUGAAGUACAAUGCAUCAGUCUUGGAGAUAAUGUAACUGAGACCUGAGAAGUACAGGGACUUGGAACACACAGCUAGGGAACACCAUAGCCUGGACUGGAAUUUCCAUGCCUACAUUUCCUCUCUGUUCUGCUAAUAAGCCAGGGCCACAAACACUAAGAGAAAGACAGUUUGGCUAGCUGGGGUCAUAAGAUUCCUUGGACUUCCUCCUGUGGGUAACUACACCUUUCUAAGAAGCACAUCUUCCUAGUAUAGUAUGUUCAUCUUUCCAAUGCCUUAACAAAUUCCCAAGAUAUAUUGACUUACAAGGAGACUCAUGGUUCUGAGGUUUCAGUCCAUGGUCUCUCGACUGCACUGUGUUGAGCCUGGGACAGACAGAACAUCGUGCCAGGAGCCUAGGGUAGGGUAGACCUACACACUCAUGGCAUCUGGGAAGCAAAAAGAAAGGGAAUGGACCAGGAUCCCAGUUUUCCCUUCAAAGUCAUCCCCCCAGUGUCCUAACUCCUUCCACUAGGCCCCAUCUCCAAAGAGUUCCACCACCUUCCAAUACACUCACAGACUGGGGACCAAGCUUGGACAGGGACAUCCCAUGGGCCAAAUGGGGACCUAAGAGGACAUUCGAGACCCAAACCAUAGCAUCUCGAGGUGAAAGUUAGAGAUCAUCAUGGAGUUUGAGGGCUUUGUCCAGGUCCAAAUAACAUGUUUAAUGUUAAGGAGAUACCAGGCAGGGUGCUCCAGGUCCCCUGAAGGAGUGUUGGAAGGCUCCACUGCCACGAAGAGGGAAGAGGAUGUGAGAGUUCUGCUUUCAUCAGCUGAGAUGUAAAAGGAAGAUGGGAAGUUGGAAACCACCUCGGUAAAGCCAGGCAGAACCAGGUUCAAAUGUGGUUUGGAACAGCUAUGAAUUAACAUCUUGGGAAAGUUACCGAGUCUUUUAUUCUCUGUUUCUUCAUGUGUAAGAUGAAGAUAAUAACACCUUCUUUCAAAAUAUGCGUGUGGAGAGUGCAUAUAAAAAAGCACUCAACGGUGCUUGCUUGGCACAGGGCAGUUGCUGCAUAAACCCUUCUUCCCCCUUACUUCCCUCUCCCUUGCUCUCUGUCCUCUGUGAUGGGAAUCCAGCAGGAAACACCUGUGCAGCCCAAGGCAGGUUGGUGCACAAUGCACUGUGACUCAGCAGGGGACCCCAUCUCCAGCUGGCCCCUAGUGGCCUCCCCCUUGCCUUUCUCCUGCUGGUCCACACCACCCAGUUCUUUGUCCUUUUUUGGCCGGUUCUCACCCUCCUGACUGCACCUGCCUCUCAGCACAUUCCUAAGCAGAAUGCUCUCCUGGACAGAGUGUCUGCCACCUAGGUUUCCCUGAAAGAGUCCAGUAGCAACUCUUCUGUAGAUAAUAUUAUCUGUUCCAAUAGACAAAAGGGGCGGAAGCAAAAAGGAGGGUGGGGGAGGGUCUCCAGGACGGAGAAAAGAAGAGAGGAAAUAUAAUAGACUUAUUGUUUCAAG
ensembl:lncRNA